ACUACCUCCUCGGCCAGGGCACGGAGAUGCAGAAGCCAGUCCUCGGCCUGCUCCAGGGCAGUGGAGAGCUCACUAUGGCCAAGCUUCAAGGCCAGAGCAGCUUCUUUGAUCUGGCUCAGGUGACGGGUGCGUAGCCGGAGCAGGUACUGAUCAAGGCUCCAGCACCUCUGGGCUCAGCACCGGCCAGACUGCUGGCCAAGCGUGGCUGGGAGACGUGCUUCUGCUCACCACCACACACGAACACUCCUGAGGAGACAGCCUUGGCUGAGCCAGGAGAGGCAUCUGAAGGUGCCAAGGACCCCCUACCUGCAGUCUGCAAGGAGCUCAUCUGUCAACUGAGCCACCAGGGCGUCCACAUCCUCGGAGGAACACUGUGCCUUCAGAGCCAAGUGGACCUGCUCCAGGGCAAGGUCCUGGGCUGGAAGGCCAACUCCAAAAUACCUAUCAGCCCAAAGCUGCCUCAGUCUCCUAAGUAGGCCUCUCCACACGUCAGGGCAUGUGAUAUGUGUUCCACCCUGGGGGACAAACCCGAGGAAGAAGACUCAGCUCCUGCUGUCGGGGAACUGUGGUCUUCUGGUAGAAUAAUGAGGAGUCCAGAGGACAGCAGGACAGUGACUCUGCAGUCUCAACUCCAAGUUCCCCCGCUGGCGUUAGCUGCCCACCACCAGCAGCUGCCAAUUUCAGGGACACUGCCCCUUCCUUGCCUUUCUGCCUCCCUUCCUACUGUGCUCAUCAGCCCGACCUUCCCCAUGCUGCCCCUCAUCCCUACCAUGCAGCCACACUCACUUUCCCCAGUUGGGUGAUGCUCCCUGGAAGGGAGCCUGGAGCCACUGCCUAACCCAGCCAGCGGCUUCCCAGCAUCCUUCACCCCUCCCUUGGCCUUCACAUCUGUGCCCUCUCGAGAUUCUCCUGCAUGCCCCGAUGAAACAUAAGGCAGCCUAAAAGGGCAGAGGGGUUCCCUGAAGCCUCUCCUCACUCCCACACAGAAUAUCCCUCACAUUCAAACACUCCGCCCCUCUCCCCAGAUUCCCAGCUUUGGACCCCAGAUCAUUUCUCUCAAAGCACCUAAUCUCCCCAAGACAAAUGUACCAAGGCCCAGCAGCCUGAGUUCCAGGAGCUCCCAAGAAAGCCAUUGGCCUCCCAGGACCGUCUCACCCUCCCCUGAGUCCUUGCCAUGAUAUGCUAGAUAUGGUCCUCGGUCCUCAUCUCUCACUUCCUCCCAUUGUCCCUAUGGCAUCCUCUUGAUGCUCCUUAGUUGGUCUCUCCGCCAUACUCCACACCUCUCCCUCAGCAGCCAUGAAGGCCACCUGCAUCUAAGUUUGGAGCCCCUAGCUUCUGGCUUCUAGAUGCUGGCUGGAAGUUUCUGGCACAACUAGAGAACACCAGGCAUAUCCCGACACUUCAGUUAUCUCUCAACCCUCCAUCUUUCAGUCAUCUCCAACAUCCACCUCGGGCAUCCCCAGCACCUUGAUACCCCAUCUCUACAAGUCUGCCUGCACAUCCUUCUGGCAGGGCUAGCGACCAGGCACCGUGUCUGGACAGGAUCCCACUCACCAGGCGGUCAGCGACCCUGAGGAGCUGGUUUUGGAUCUCAAUUCGAUGGCUGAUGUCUUCCCAGUAUGAGGACAGCACCACCACGGGCUUCACGUUGCCCCAAGAUUCAUGACAGUUGCUAGGAACUGCCAGAGGAUAUCCAACGAACAGUCACAUGUAGCCGAUAAUGGCCUGUCAUGCUCCAGUGUCACUCAAAAUAAGUAUGUGUACUCUCUUAUAACUCUCAGGAUGUGGCUUGGACAUCUUGGAUUUAAUGUGUCCUAGGACAAUUCUUCAUCCAUUGUGGCCCAGAGAACCCAGGUUGGACGGCUCUGGAAGGCUCACAGAAAGGAGUAUAAAGCACAAAUAUAUGGUGGUCUAGAGGUAAAAGCAGGGAUGGAGAACUGAAGCCAGAGACCUAAAGAGGGCAAGGUCCUGAGCUGGCCUUCUGAUUUCUGCAGCCAGGUCUCGGCCCCCAAGGCUAGUGGCAAGAAUCAGUGUGGCAGAAUGUGUAUCUUGUGAAGAUUUUCUUAUCUACAGGAACUGAGCUGGGCCCUGGCAUAGGAGAGUUCUCAGCCUGGAAGAGUGACAUACACAGGCACAGCUGUGGUCCCCAGAGUCUACUUUAAUCUCAUCCCAAAUGAUGCUUUAGCGGGAGGAGCCUGUUAUCUUGGACUAAUGAAAGCAGAGUCAGAGAUGGGACCCCUGUGUUCUUGCUAGAGACUGGCUUUUAUCCUGGUAGCCAGUCAGUGAUAGUUAUCUACCAGUCCCACCGGCAAGGUAGCCACCUACUGGUGGUAGCUGGAACUGCACAGGCCUCCUUGUUCGUUUGUAGAUUUAGGAGCCAUAAGCAGAUAGGACUGUGGGCAUUGGCUCAGCCUUGCUGACGUCUUGGGCCAGUGCUUCCCAACUUGAGAACAGGUCACAGGUCUCCGAUGUUGAGGUUCACCCCAGGUUCUCGCCCCUGUGUCUGCAGACAGCUCAUAAAGUCAAGGGCGGGAGAGCAAAGAAGCCACCAACACAAAGCCGCUAUUUAGUCCUGGUCGUCUUUCUGCCAAAACACAAGUGUUUCGCUGUGUUUUCCCUGAGCCUGGAGAGUUGGGUCCAAGGAAGCCCCAAGUCCCAAAUGAACACGCCUAGCUUUUUACUGUGAGAGUGAAGCCCAGUUUCCUCACCUGGAAGAACUGGAAGGGACAGAACAGGCUGCCAGCCACAAGUCACAGCUCAGCAGGCGGUCCCUGGGGACACGCAUGUACCCUGGAGAAGCCAAGCCAUUGCCUUCAGUCAGCCUUGCCAGCUCCCAAGGCUCGGCAGAGCCCCAAGCCCACGGCUUUGGCUGCCUGACACCCGCCUGGUCCAGGCAAGAGGGAAAAGGGGAGACUACUGGGAAAUUCACUGUCAUCCAAAAUCCAAAGACAACUUUGGUUUUCCCAGUGCCGUUCUGGAGCACACUGUCCAUAGGGGUGACGGCAUCAAAGAUGCCUGCAAGUAUCACAGGUCCCGUGAGCUUACCGCCUUUCAAAAGAAUAGCCACAUCUAAGAGGGCAUACUCCUUUAAAAAUAAUAAUAAUAAUAAUAACAACAAAGUCUUCCCUUCAUACGUUGGUGCACAGGGUCCAAAGAGUACUUCAAACUUCAGGCUAGGCAAACUGCGGGCAGAAGUGCUUAAGAGGUUCGUGUUAGGUCUUGUCCUUACUGGGGACAAAAACAAGAUCACAAAAACAAAACUCCAGGCUGAAUCAAAUCAUCAGGGAGCUCAAGGCAGAAAGAAGCGGGUUUGAUUGGUUGGUUUGCUGCUGUUGCUGUUGUUGUCGUCGUCAUUGUUUUGAGAUACAGUCUCAAUGAGUUAGCCCCGUGGGUCUUUUACUCACUAUGUAGCCAGGAUGGCCUCACACUCCUGAUCCCUUUGCCUCCCCCAUGCAAGUGCUGGGCUACCAUAUGGUGCUGGAAGUGGAACCCAGGGCUUCUGCACGCUGGGCAAGCACUCUACCAACAUACAGUACAGUUUGUGUUGUGUUUUGGGAGAAACAAGAAAACAAGGCAGUGUACUUUCCAGGCUAGGGAAAGAAAUGUAGCCAUAGGCAAAGGAAGUGACAACCUUCAGGCCAGACAGCUGCGUCCACCUGAGAAAGGGACCCAUCUCUACAGGAAGGGCCCUCAGAGAACCCGGGAAGUCCCAAAGAAUAACCAAAUUUGAUCAAUAAAUUUAGCUCAACAGUCAUAUU
ensembl:antisense Gm15475 predicted gene 15475